AAGCAGUAACUAACGCCACGUCUCAGCAGCUUCUUGCUGACCUCCUUGGUGAACUUUUAGGUUAGAAGAGGACUCUGGGGAGAGCAAUCAUAAGUGGAGCAGCAGAACAAUGGAACGGAGGAGCUGUUUUCACUGACAAAUUGAAUUUGCAGCCCAAUAAGGUUCAUACAUCAGGAUUUCCGUGGAGAUAGUUCAAUAGGGACAAUGCGAGCAGUUGGAGUAAGGUCCACCUCUGCUCAUACUAACUACAUCACUCAACAGAGAAACUCCUUGGAAAAUAAGGAAACAUAUUCUCCGAGGUGUCCAAUUUCUGGAGGGCUGAACAGGAGCUGAGAUUUAGAACUGUAACAAACCAAGAGUUUUUAAUAAUAAUUGUGUUCUUCGCGAAA